UGUGACGUGGCAGGCGGGGCGGGAUCUAUAAACGCGUUGCCAGCCGGUCCGGGGUCGCGGCUGGCGCCGUCGUUCGACGCGGCUACUCCGCGCAACGUCACCGCGCUUGUUGGCAAGUCCGCCUACCUCAGCUGCCGGGUCAGGAACCUUGGCAACAGAACGGUCUCAUGGAUACGGCACCGCGACCUGCACAUCCUCACCGUAGGCGGGUAUACGUACACGUCCGACCAGCGGUUCCAGGCGACGCACUCGCCGCACACGGACGACUGGACGCUGCAUAUCAAAUGGGCGCAGCAGCGAGACGCAGGCGUGUACGAGUGCCAGGUAUCCACUCAGCCGGUGCGAUCGUUCUUCGUCACGCUGCACGUUGUUGAUUGCGACGAGAUCUACCAGCGAAUGUUCUCCGACCAAG